rnacentral:rRNA from 1 species
CUACGGAGGGUGCGAGCGUUAUCCGGAUUUAUUAGGUUUAAAGGGUGUGUAGGCGGGAGCCCAAGUCAGUGGUGAAAUCUCACAGCUUAACUGUGAAACUGCCAUUGAAACUGGGUUUCUUGAGUAUAGUUGAGGUAGGCGGAAUGUGUAAUGUAGCGGUGAAAUGCAUAGAUAUUACACAGAACACCGAUUGCGAAGGCAGCUUACUAAGCUAUUACUGACGCUGAUGCACGAAAGCGUGGGUAGCGAACAGGAUUAGAAACCCCAGUAGUCC